AUAAUUGCCUGGCAGAGGACAGUAAAUGACUAUGUAGGUGUUAGGUGUUUUUCCCAGAGUGAGGCUUAUCUGUUGUACUCUGAAUGUGCCGAAUCCUGCGUUUUCCCCAAGUGUGGAAAACUCUGACUGCAUAGGUUUUGGUAAGUGGGGGAUUGUGUUCGUGCUCACCCCUG
rnacentral:snRNA from 1 species